UACAGAGGUCUCAAGCGUUGUUCGGAUUCAUUGGGCGUAAAGGGUGCGUAGGCGGCGCGGUAAGUCGGGUGUGAAAUCUUGGAGCUUAACUCCGAAACUGCAUUCGAUACUGCCGUGCUUGAGGACUGGAGAGGAGACUGGAAUUUACGGUGUAGCGGUGAAAUGCGUAGAUAUCGUAAGGAAGACCAGUGGCGAAGGCGGGUCUCUGGACAGUUCCUGACGCUGAGGCACGAAGGCUAGGGGAGCAAACGGG
rnacentral:rRNA from 1 species